CACAAGUUCAUCCUGAAUGAGAAUGUGCAAAUCCUCUCUCACGUACGACUCACCCUGAAUACGAGUGUGUGCAUUUUUGAGACUUUCCUGUCAGCACACACCUCCCACGUGAGUCACUCGUGCCCUGUAGCCAAUAAGAUGCGAGCUUACUGUUCAACCAAUCACAACUCCCUGAGAACGUGGGAAUGACCGAAUCGCUUCACUGUGCGCUAUAUUUGCGCAGUCUGACCUAAUUAACGAAGAUGAUCCUCUAAGAAGAAGAAUACUCCUCUAUUUAGCAUGGCAGGUGAAGAGCGGGAUGCGCGGGUAAGUGGUUACUUGAUUUCUAUAGUGGUUUAUGUAUGCAAAGAUUAAGUAUCAAAUGUUUGUUAAAGCAAUGGCUGCUGUUGUUUAUAAUGUAAACUUUAUAACGUAAAUUAAGUCCGUUAUUAAGCCAACAUGGCGAGUGAAGAACGGGAUGGUCGUGUAAAAUAGCAUGGCUUCUGUCAUGGUCGAUUCUAGGAUUGUCAUUCAAGGGAGCUCAGCUAUAAAUUUGAUCGGGGACUAAUUUGGGGGUGGAAUCGAUCGCGUACUAAAGUGAAGACCGGGAGAGCGUAAUGCCGUUUUGGGUGUGGGUGGGUAUGGGGGGUGGAGAGAGGAGAUGAUCGCCGACUGUAAGGAACGGGCGGGGUGGGGGUCGGCAGUGUUGAUCGCGGACUAUGAAGAUAACAAAUGAUAAAAGGUAUAAUUGGUAUUUGUCUUACAGGCACUGUCAUCAGAAGUAGAAAUAGCAGCAAAAGCUCUGAUCGAUGUAUUAGCCAGGGGCCUUACUCCAUCUUCGUAAAGAAAUGCACUAGCUAGUGGUAGUAGACCAAUGAGAGAAAGCAUCUCAAGUGGGACCAUUCCUUUGCCUGCAGAGCCUGAAAACAUGGCAAUUCCCAAGUAUGUUUGGGACAGAGAUUUUUCUGUGGCCAAACCUAGAAACAUUAAAAAAACUGAUUUUCAAAUCCAUGUCCUCUCUGAACCAUCACCCUUCACACCAAAAGGAGAUGAAGACCUUGAGCUUGUCCAUGCUGGACUUGGAAAAAGGCUUUUAACUGUUCCAGAUAAUUUUAAACACAGUGAGAUUGUCAGUCUGCUUGAAGGAGAGUUUCCCAAAUUAAAAACACUUCAGGGUGGCUGGAUGUUUUACAAGUCUACAGGUAUUUAUGUUUUGCAUGUUACAUAUAAACAAAAAAUGAUUUGUGUGCAUUUGCAAUAACUUUGCAAUUUUGUAAAUUAAUGAAACUGGUAUGUGCUUUUUUGGCGUUAAUAAUUUAGUAAUAAGCUUCAUUAGUUUAAACUUUUUAGUCAAGGACAUGUUUCUCUGCCAUGUUCUAAGAUUAUGGCAUGCCCUACUUCAGUUUUCCAGUGGUAAACCUAGCUUUAUAGAACAUUUCUGUCCAAAAUUUUAGGUGACACAUUUAUAACAAUAUUGCUAGCCCAAGAAGGCAACAGUAGUCCUGAAUGUGAUUCUCAAUUGAUUUUGCCAUUAGGUGGUGGUGGGCGGCGUAAGCUGUCUAUAAUUCCCACAGAUGCUGAUGGAUACUCAACUCGACUCCUAAAAUCAGUGUCAAAUAAUGGAAAGAACAUGCUGUUUGUAGUUCCAUUACACACAGCAAAUUCGUU